CCGGCGCGCCGGUGCGGGUGCGCGUGCGCACGUCUAUGGCCCGUCCGGUAGCCACCGCAGCUGCGGCGGCGACUGCUGAGUCGGCUUCCCAGGCCACGGAAUGAGGGGAAUGUCUGGAGACACACCCCGUCCACUGUUCCCCUCGCUCCCCUUUACUCUAAAGGCGAAGUGAGGAGCCCUGAGCAGCGAACACAAUAACUGGGAUUCCCGCAACUGCAAAUCCCGCCCCUACCCCGAGCGCCGGCCGACAGUGGGGCGGACCGACUCUGAACAAGGGAUUACAUCCCGAUUUACAGGUGUACAACAGUGACACAGACUUAAGCAGACUAAUUGGACAUGGCAUGCGUCCCCACCUUGAUUUGCUAUAACUUCACUCAUCCCACUGCCUGUGACUGUUUGCAGGAAAGCAAAGUAACUCCUUCGCAACAUCUGCUUCUCUAAAGCAGCAGACUGGUCAUUUUCUUCUGCUGGCCGGAGCAGCACUUCAAAAAUUGCAUGAAGCAGGGGCAUGAACAUCUGUUGUAAAAAUGGGGAUACCUGUAUCUGAAAAUAAACAAUCAUUACUUCA